rnacentral:rRNA from 1 species
GUGGGGAAUAUUGGACAAUGGGCGAAAGCCUGAUCCAGCCAUGCCGCGUGUGUGAAGAAGGUCUUCGGAUUGUAAAGCACUUUAAGUUGGGAGGAAGGGCAGUAAGUUAAUACCUUGCUGUUUUGACGUUACCGACAGAAUAAGCACCGGCUAACUUCGUGCCAGCAGCCGCGGUAAUACGAAGGGUGCAAGCGUUAAUCGGAAUUACUGGGCGUAAAGCGCGCGUAGGUGGUUUUGUAAGUUGGAGGUGAAAUCCCCGGGCUCAACCUGGGAACUGCCUCCAAAACUGCAUGACUAGAGUACGGUAGAGGGUAGUGGAAUUUCCUGUGUAGCGGUGAAAUGCGUAGAUAUAGGAAGGAACACCAGUGGCGAAGGCGACUACCUGGACUGAUACUGACACUGAGGUGCGAAAGCGUGGGGAGCAAACAGGAUUAGAAACACCUGUAGUCC